rnacentral:rRNA from 1 species
UUACCGCGGCUGCUGGCACGGAGUUAGCCGGUGCUUCUUCUGUAGGUAACGUCAGGGCCUAAGGUUAUUAACCUUAAACUUUUCCUCCCUACUGAAAGUGCUUUACAACCCUAAGGCCUUCUUCACACACGCGGCAUUGCUGCAUCAGAGUUUCCUCCAUUGUGCAAUAUUCCCCACUGCUGCCUCCCGUAGGAAGCCGAAUUCCAGCACACUGGCGGCCGUUACUAGUGGAUCCGAGCUCGGUACCAAGCUUGGCGUAAUCAUGGUCAUAGCUGUUUCCUG